UGCUCUUUGGCAAAGACCUCACGAAAAAAGUAAAAGAUAUGGAAGAGGCCUCUAAAAUUUUCGGUCUCAUGAGGGCAGUCCCCGGGACGAGCAAACAAAAACAACAAUACCCAAGCAGCAGCACCCCAUCGUGUCCACCAGUCGACAUCUACCAUUUUUUUUUAGACCAAGGGCCCAGAGCGGACCCCAUGGAAAAUGCGCCACCCCCCAACAUCACCGCCACGUCAGACAACGCGCAAGACUCGCUGGUCGGGGAAGAGACAUAAGAAAUACCCAUAACCAUGGAGAUUCAUUGGUUGAUUACGAUAACACACAUCCUCCCUCAAGUACUUCGGCAAUGCUGCCUGGUGGAGUGUUUCCAGCAUUGUUCUGGGUUUAUUACAAUUGCACUAAAAGACUACGAUCUGUCUCUUUCAUAGCAGUAUCUCAAUGGAACAAAGUCCGGUUAAUGCUAACAUACUGAAGGGCAUGCCUUCGAUGGCUCUGAAUAAAGAAAGUACACAAAAACCACAAGGCAAUGAAUCUAUUUUUAGUCGACUAGAAAGAAGGCGGAUAAUCUAAUCUUGGAUGGUGGAGGGUUGUUGCAAUGCACAGCUACAUUAUA